rnacentral:lncRNA from 1 species
AAAGAACUUGUUUAAUUUCAAAAAUUGCUCUAUACAAUUUAUUGUAAAAGUUUGAACAAAUAUUUAGGGAAAUCAUUAGUUACCCCAGGUGUACGAGGUCUGGCUGCCCUUCCUCCAGCAGAAAGGCCAAUGCUGGAGGCAUUAGCCUCAUACAAAAAGUCAUCCUCCUCAUCGCUGUCGUCGCCGGCUGACUGAUGAGCCAUGACCUGCGCCAGCCGCUGAGCCGCGGCUUUCGUAUUCGGCUUCUUCAGAUUGGCUGACAUGCCGGCCGAGCCGGAACGUGCAUGGCGAUGCAUCGGUGACGUCAUUGCUGACGCCGAUGCUCC